rnacentral:rRNA from 1 species
AGCGAACGUUUGCGGCGGGCCUAACACAUGCAAGUCGAACGCACUAGCAAUAGUGAGUGGCGCACGGGUGCGUAACACGUGGGUAAUCAACCCUUCAGCUUGGGAUAACGACUUGAAAGGGUCGCUAAUACCGGAUACGGCGAGAGAGGCUUCGGCAUUUCUCGAGAAAGCCUCGCAAGGGGCACUGAAGGACGAGCCUGCGGCCCAUCAGCUAGUUGGUGAGGUAAGAGCUCACCAAGGCGAAGACGGGUAGCUGGUCUGAGAGGAUGAUCAGCCACACUGGAACUGAGACACGGUCCAGACUCCUACGGGAGGCAGCAGUGGGGAAUAUUGCGCAAUGGGCGAAAGCCUGACGCAGCCACGCCGCGUGAGCGAUGAAGGCCUUCGGGUCGUAAAGGCUCUGUGGGGAGAGACGAAGAAAGCCCGUGAAGAGCGGGCCUUGACGGUAUCUCCUUAGCAAGCACCGGCUAACUCCGUGCCAGCAGCCGCGGUAA